rnacentral:rRNA from 1 species
AGCGAACGCUGGCGGCAGGCCUAACACAUGCAAGUCGAACGGAUCCUUCGGGAUUAGUGGCGGACGGGUGAGUAACACGUGGGAACGUGCCCUUUGGUUCGGAACAACUCAGGGAAACUUGAGCUAAUACCGGAUGUGCCCUUCGGGGGAAAGAUUUAUCGCCAUUGGAGCGGCCCGCGUCUGAUUAGCUAGUUGGUGAGGUAAAGGCUCACCAAGUCGACGAUCAGUAGCUGGUCUGAGAGGGUGAUCAGCCACAUUGGGACUGAGACACGGCUCAAACGCCUACGAGAGGCAGCAGUGGGGAAUCUUGCGCAAUGGGCGAAAGCAUGACGCAGCCAUGCCGCGUGAAUGAUGGAGGUCUUAGGAUUGUAAAAUUCUUUCACCGGGGACGAUAAUGACGGUACCCGGAGAAGAAGCCCCGGCUAACUGCGUGCCAGCCGCCGCCGUAA